rnacentral:rRNA from 1 species
GUACGUUGCUCGUCGCACAGGACACGCUGGCGGCGUGCCUAAUACAUGCAAGUCGAGCGAAUGACAGAGAAGCUUGCUUCUCUUGAUUUAGCGGCGGACGGGUGAGUAACACGUGGGCAACCUACCUUAUAGAUGGGGAUAACUCCGGGAAACCGGGGCUAAUACCGAAUAAUUCCAAGCACCUCCUGGUGCUUGGCUGAAAGACGGUUUCGGCUGUCACUAUAAGAUGGGCCCGCGGCGCAUUAGCUAGUUGGUAAGGUAACGGCUUACCAAGGCAACGAUGCGUAGCCGACCUGAGAGGGUGAUCGGCCACACUGGGACUGAGACACGGCCCAGACUCCUACGGGAGGCAGCAGUAGGGAAUCUUCCACAAUGGACGAAAGUCUGAUGGAGCAACGCCGCGUGAGUGAAGAAGGUUUUCGGAUCGUAAAACUCUGUUGUAAGGGAAGAAUAAGUACGGUAGUAACUGGCCGUACCUUGACGGUACCUUAUUAGAAAGCCACGGCUAACUACGUG